UAAUACGAUGAUGGAUACCCGAA
rnacentral:siRNA from 1 species